GAUGAACGCUGGCGGCGUGCCUAAUACAUGCAAGUCGAGCGAACAGAUAAGGAGCUUGCUCCUUUGACGUUAGCGGCGGACGGGUGAGUAACACGUGGGUAACCUACCUAUAAGACUGGAAUAACUCCGGGAAACCGGGGCUAAUGCCGGAUAACAUUUAGAACCGCAUGGUUCUAAAGUGAAAGAUGGUUUUGCUAUCACUUAUAGAUGGACCCGCGCCGUAUUAGCUAGUUGGUAAGGUAACGGCUUACCAAGGCAACGAUACGUAGCCGACCUGAGAGGGUGAUCGGCCACACUGGAACUGAGACACGGUCCAGACUCCUACGGGAGGCAGCAGUAGGGAAUCUUCCGCAAUGGGCGAAAGCCUGACGGAGCAACGCCGAGUGAGUGAUGAAGGUCUUCGGAUCGUAAAACUCUGUUAUUAGGGAAGAACAAAUGUGUAAGUAACUGUGCACGUCUUGACGGUACCUAAUCAGAAAGCCACGGCUAACUACGUG
rnacentral:rRNA from 1 species